UACGUAGGGUGCGAGCGUUUAAUCGGAAUUACUGGGCGUAAAGCGUGCGCAGGCGGUUGUGCAAGACAGAUGUGAAAUCCCCGGGCUCAACCUGGGAACUGCAUUUGUGACUGCACAGCUUGAGUGCGGCAGAGGGGGAUGGAAUUCCGCGUGUAGCAGUGAAAUGCGUAGAUAUGCGGAGGAACACCGAUGGCGAAGGCAAUCCCCUGGGCCUGCACUGACGCUCAUGCACGAAAGCGUGGGGAGCAAACAGG
rnacentral:rRNA from 1 species